UACAGAGGUCUCAAGCGUUGUUCGGAUUCAUUGGGCGUAAAGGGUGUGUAGGUGGUGCGCUAAGUCGGGUGUGAAAUUUCGGAGCUUAACUCCGAAGCUGCAUUCGAUACUGGCGUGCUUGAGGACUGGAGAGGAGACUGGAAUUCAUGGUGUAGCAGUGAAAUGCGUAGAGAUCAUGAGGAAGACCAGUGGCGAAGGCGGGUCUCUGGACAGUUCCUGACACUGAGACACGAAGGCCAGGGGAGCAAACGGG
rnacentral:rRNA from 1 species